rnacentral:rRNA from 1 species
GUUGUAUAGUCAAGUAAUUAAGUGCAUGUGGUGGAUGCCUUGGCAGUCAGAGGCGAUGAAAGACGUGAUAGCCUGCGAAAAGCUCCGGGGAGGCGGCAAAUAUCCUUUGAUCCGGAGAUGUCUGAAUGGGGGAACCCACCUACUUUAAGGUAGGUAUUGCAACAUGAAUACAUAGUGUUGCAAGGCGAACGAGGGGAAGUGAAACAUCUCAGUACCCUUAGGAAAAGAAAUCAAUUGAGAUUCCCUCAGUAGCGGCGAGCGAACGGGGAUCAGCCCAUUAAGUUAUGUGUGUUUUAGUGGAACGCUCUGGGAAGUGCGAACGUAGAGGGUGAUAUUCCCGUACACGAAAGGGCACACAUAAUGAUGACGAGUAGGGCGAGGCACGUGAAACCUUGUCUGAAUAUGGGGGGACCAUCCUCCAAGGCUAAAUACUCCUGACUGACCGAUAGUGAACCAGUACCGUGAGGGAAAGGCGAAAAGAACCCCUGUGAGGGGAGUGAAAUAGAUCCUGAAACCGCAUGCAUACAAGCAGUGGGAGCACCUUCGUGGUGUGACUGCGUACCUUUUGUAUAAUGGGUCAGCGACUUAUAUUCAGUAGCAAGGUUAACCGUAUAGGGGAGCCGUAGAGAAAUCGAGUCUUAAUAGGGCGUUUAGUUGCUGGGUAUAGACCCGAAACCAGGCGAUCUAUCCAUGAGCAGGUUGAAGGUUGGGUAACACUAACUGGAGGACCGAACCCACUGUCGUUGAAAAGCCAGGGGAUGACUUGUGGAUAGGGGUGAAAGGCUAAUCAAGCCUGGUGAUAGCUGGUUCUCCCCGAAAGCUAUUUAGGUAGCGCCUCGGACGAAUACCAUAGGGGGUAGAGCACUGUUUCGGCUAGGGGGUCAUCCCGACUUACCAAACCGAUGCAAACUCCGAAUACCUAUGAGUACUAUCCGGGAGACAGACUGCGGGUGCUAACGUCCGUAGUCAAGAGGAAAACAAUCCAGACCGCCAGCUAAGGCCCCAAAAUCAUAGUUAAGUGGGAAACGAUGUGGGAAGGCAUAGACAGCUAGGAGGUUGGCUUAGAAGCAGCCACCCUUUAAAGAAAGCGUAAUAGCUCACUAGUCGAGUCGGCCUGCGCGGAAGAUGUAACGGGGCUAAAACUAUGUGCCGAAGCUGCGGAUNNNNNUGCUGGAGGUAUCAGAAGUGCGAAUGCUGACGUGAGUAACGACAAAACGGGUGAAAAACCCGUUCGCCGAAAGACCAAGGGUUCCAGUCCAACGUUAAUCGGGGCUGGGUGAGUCGACCCCUAAGGCGAGGCCGAAAGGCGUAGUCGAUGGGAAAAUGGUUAAUAUUCCAUUACUUCUGUGUAAUGCGAUGAGAGGACGGAGAAGGCUAAAUCAGCCUGGCGUUGGUUGUCCAGGUGAAAGGAUGUAGGCAUGUAUCUUAGGCAAAUCCGGGGUACUCUAUGCUGAGAUCUGAUAGCAAGCUGUACUUGUACAGCGAAGUGGUUGAUGCCAUGCUUCCAGGAAAAGUCUCUAAGCUUCAGUUACACAGGAAUCGUACCCGAAACCGACACAGGUGGUCAGGUCGAGUAGACCAAGGCGCUUGAGAGAACUCUGCUGAAGGAACUAGGCAAAAUGGUACCGUAACUUCGGGAGAAGGUACGCUGUUGUUGGUGAUGGAACUCGCUUCCUGAGCUGACGACAGCCGCAGAAACCAGGCCGCUGCAACUGUUUAUUAAAAACAUAGCACUCUGCAAACACGAAAGUGGACGUAUAGGGUGUGAUGCCUGCCCGGUGCUGGAAGGUUAAUUGAUGGGGUUAGCGUAAGCGAAGCUCUUGAUCGAAGCCCCAGUAAACGGCGGCCGUAACUAUAACGGUCCUAAGGUAGCGAAAUUCCUUGUCGGGUAAGUUCCGACCUGCACGAAUGGCAUAAUGAUGGCGGCGCUGUCUCCAGCAGAGGCUCAGUGAAAUCGAAAUCGCUGUGAAGAUGCAGUGUACCCGCGGCUAGACGGAAAGACCCCGUGAACCUUUACUGCAGCUUGACACUGAACUUUGACCUUACUUGUGUAGGAUAGGUGGGAGGCUUUGAAGCUGGAACGCUAGUUCCAGUGGAGCCGUCCUUGAAAUACCACCCUGGUAAUGUUGAGGUUCUAACUCUGUCCCGUGAUCCGGGACGAGGACCGUGUCUGGUGGGUAGUUUGACUGGGGCGGUCUCCUCCUAAAGAGUAACGGAGGAGUACGAAGGUGCGCUCAGCGUGGUCGGAAAUCACGCGUAGAGUAUAAAGGCAAAAGCGCGCUUAACUGCGAGACCCACAAGUCGAGCAGGUACGAAAGUAGGUCUUAGUGAUCCGGUGGUUCUGUAUGGAAGGGCCAUCGCUCAACGGAUAAAAGGUACUCUGGGGAUAACAGGCUGAUACCGCCCAAGAGUUCAUAUCGACGGCGGUGUUUGGCACCUCGAUGUCGGCUCAUCUCAUCCUGGGGCUGAAGCAGGUCCCAAGGGUAUGGCUGUUCGCCAUUUAAAGAGGUACGCGAGCUGGGUUUAGAACGUCGUGAGACAGUUCGGUCCCUAUCUACCGUGGGCGCUGGAAAUUUGAGAGGAUCUGCUCCUAGUACGAGAGGACCAGAGUGGACGAACCUCUGGUGUACCGGUUGUGACGCCAGUCGCAUCGCCGGGUAGCUAUGUUCGGAAGGGAUAACCGCUGAAAGCAUCUAAGCGGGAAGCCUACCUCAAGAUAAGAUUUCCCUAGGACUUUAUGUCCUCUAAAGAGCCGUUCGAGACUAGGACGUUGAUAGGUUGGAUGUGGAAGCAUAGUGAUAUGUGAAGCUGACCAAUACUAAUUGCUCGUGAGGCUUGACUAUACAACACCCAAGCAGUUG